rnacentral:rRNA from 1 species
GACGGAGGAUGCAAGUGUUAUCCGGAAUCACUGGGCGUAAAGCGUCUGUAGGUUGUUUAAAAAGUCUGCAGUUAAAGGUUGAAGCUUAACUUCAAAAAUGCCGUAGAAACUUUUAAACUAAGAGGAUGGUAGGGGUAGAAGGGAAUUUCCAGUGGAGCGGUGAAAUGUGUAGAUAUUGGAAAGACCACCGAUGGCGAAGGCACUCUACUGGGCCAUGACUGACACUGAGAGACGAAAGCUAGGGGAGCAAAUGGG